AAAAACUUCUGCACACCCUAUAAGAAAAUACUGUGGAACUUGCCAAAAUACAGAUAUCGGCACUUGUUUAAUUUCAUAGGAGUUGUGUCUUCUAACAGUUCCGAGUCUUAUCUGUUCUAAAACUGCUGCAGAUACCAUGGCAAAUAUUGAUAUGAAGAGGCCAAUGCCCAUCCUCUGAAGUUGAGUCAAGCCAUAUUUGUUACCUGUGAAUCUUCUUGCAAAUGGCACAAUAAUGCGAUCAUAGAUGGGGACCCAAAAGAUAACACUGAGGGUGUCGAAGACGGAAAGAGAUGCGGAUGGGAUCUGGAACUUGGAAUUGCCAACAAAUUUAUUCAUUUGAUCACCUUGU
rnacentral:misc_RNA from 1 species